AGCAUUCUAUAGUGUACUACAACAUCAAUCCAGCUGAAUAUGGCUGUUGUGUUGGUUGAAUGUUCCAGGCAGGUUCCAGAAUGUUCUUCAGCUGGUGAUCCUUGUAUGGGGAAUGGAAGCUGGUUUAGAAAGGCUGUGGCGAUGUUGGCAGGGAUGUUGGGUUUGGGGGGGCUGUGACUCUGACUCCUUGAGGACAACCAUCUGGUCCUUUCUGCACUCCACAGUCAGGUGGACAACCGUCUGGUUCUGUCUGCACUCCCCAGCCAGGUAGACAACAGUCUGGUUCUGUCUGCACUCCCCAGCCAGGUAAACAACCGUCUGGUUCUGUCUGCACUCCACAGCCAGGUAGACAACCGUCUGGUUCUGUCUGCACUCCACAGUCAGGUAGACAACCGUCUGGUUCUGUCUGCACUCCACAGCCAGGUAGACAACCGUCUGGUUCUGUCUGCACUCC
rnacentral:lncRNA from 1 species